GACGAACGCUGGCGGCGUGCCUAAUACAUGCAAGUCGAGCGGACAGAAGUUGGAUGCCAGAGGUCAGAAGCUUGGACUUCUCGAGGAAGUUUGAUUGUUCAUCUAUGAAGAUGACUUUCAUCUUACUUCCGGCUUCCGGCAUCCGACUUCUGUUAGCGGCGGACGGGUGAGUAACACGUGGGCAACCUGCCUGUAAGACCGGGAUAACUUGCGGAAACGUGAGCUAAUACCGGAUAAUGAUUUCUGCCGCAUGACAGGAAUCUGAAAGACGGCGCAAGCUGUCACUUACAGAUGGGCCCGCGGCGCAUUAGCUAGUUGGUGGGGUAACGGCCUACCAAGGCGACGAUGCGUAGCCGACCUGAGAGGGUGAUCGGCCACACUGGGACUGAGACACGGCCCAGACUCCUACGGGAGGCAGCAGUAGGGAAUCUUCCGCAAUGGACGAAAGUCUGACGGAGCAACGCCGCGUGAGCGAAGAAGGUCUUCGGAUCGUAAAGCUCUGUUGUCAGGGAAGAACAAGUACGAGAGUAACUGCUCGUACCUUGACGGUACCUGACCAGAAAGCCACGGCUAACUAC
rnacentral:rRNA from 1 species